AUGGCCAUCCCCAAGGGUUUUCUUCUUGCCAUUCUAGGCUGCAUCUGCUUAUGCAGCAGUGCUGUUAUGUCAGCUCGCGAGCUCAACGACGCGACCAUGGUGGAGAGGCACGAGCAGUGGAUGGCGAAGUUCAACCGCGUUUACAAGGACGGCACCGAGAAGGCACAUCGGUAUGAGGUGUUCAAGGCCAACGUUGCCUUCAUCGAGUCGUUCAACGCCGGAAACCACAAGUUCUGGCUCAGUGUCAACCAGUUUACCGACCUCACCAAUGAUGAGUUCAAGGCAACCAAGACCAACAAGGGCCUCAAGAGGAGCGGUAGCCAGGCUCCAACCGGGUUCAAGUACAACAAUGUCAGCACCGAUGCACUUCCAGCCGCUGUUGAUUGGAGAACCAAGGGUGCCGUUACUCCUAUCAAAGACCAAGGCCAAUGUGGCUGCUGCUGGGCCUUUUCAGCUGUGGCCGCAACCGAAGGCAUUGUGAAGUUGAGCUCCGGGAAGCUAGUCUCUCUGUCGGAACAAGAGCUAGUUGACUGUGACGUUCAUGGUGUUGAUCAGGGUUGUGAGGGUGGUGAGAUGGACGAUGCCUUCAAGUUCAUCAUCAAGAAUGGCGGCCUCACCACCGAGGCCAACUACCCCUACACGGCACAAGACGGACAAUGCAAGACAAGCAUUGCAAGCAACAAUGUUGCAACCAUCAAGGGCUACGAGGAUGUGCCCGCCAACGACGAAUCUUCUCUUAUGAAAGCCGUGGCUAACCAGCCUGUGUCAGUAGCUGUGGACGGAGGGGAUGUCAUAUUUCAACAUUACUCCGGCGGGGUAAUGACCGGCUCAUGUGGGACUGAUUUGGACCAUGGCAUAGCAGCUAUUGGAUAUGGCAUGACAAGUGACGGAACUAAGUAUUGGCUACUGAAAAACUCAUGGGGCACGACAUGGGGCGAGAGUGGGUACCUCAGAAUGGAGAAGGAUAUUUCUGACAAGAGUGGUAUGUGUGGCUUGGCCAUGCAACCUUCCUACCCCACCGAGUAG
rnacentral:rRNA from 1 species